AUUGAACGCUGGCGGCAUGCCUUACACAUGCAAGUCGAACGGUAACAGGUUAAGCUGACGAGUGGCGAACGGGUGAGUAAUAUAUCGGAACGUGCCCAGUCGUGGGGGAUAACGUAGCGAAAGCUACGCUAAUACCGCAUACGAUCUACGGAUGAAAGCGGGGGAUCGCAAGACCUCGCGCGAUUGGAGCGGCCGAUAUCAGAUUAGCUAGUUGGUGGGGUAAAAGCUCACCAAGGCGACGAUCUGUAGCUGGGCUGAGAGGACGACCAGCCACACUGGAACUGGGACACGGUCCAGACUCCUACGGGAGGCAGCAGUGGGGAAUUUUGGACAAUGGGCGCAAGCCUGAUCCAGCAAUGCCGCGUGCAGGAUGAAGGCCUUCGGGUUGUAAACUGCUUUUGUACGGAACGAAACGGCGAGCUCUAAUACAGUUUGCUAAUGACGGUACCGUAAGAAUAAGCACCGGCUAACUACGUGCCAGCAGCCGCCGUAA
rnacentral:rRNA from 1 species